rnacentral:rRNA from 1 species
UCGAGAAUAUUCCACAAUGGGCGCAAGCCUGAUGGAGCGACGCCGCGUGCAGGAAGAAGGUCUACGGAUUGUAAACUGCUUUUUUACGGGAAGAAGCCCCGCUCUGCGGGGUUGACGGUACCGUGAGAAUAAGGGGUGGCUAACUUCGUGCCAGCAGCAGCGGUAAUACGAAGACCCCGAGUGUUAUCCGGAUUUAUUGGGCGUAAAGCGUGUGUAGGGGGUUUAGUGCGUCUCGUGUUAAAUCUCGCCGCCUAACGGUGAGCUCCCACGAGAUACGACUAGACUAGAGGGUGCGAGAGGUCUGCGGAACGCACGGUGUAGGGGUGAAAUCCGUUGAUAUCGUGCGGAACACCGAAGGCGAAGGCAGCAGACUGGCGCAUUCCUGACCUUGAGACACGAA